rnacentral:lncRNA from 1 species
CCUCCUUUAUCACUUCGAGGGGAUCGACCCUCCUUGAUCACUUCGAGGGGAUCGGCCUCCUAGGGUUGUCCAAAGAUAGAAUAGUAUUUUUCAUAGAUUACUGAAAAGAAGCAGUUACAUCCCUAUUUAUAGAGUUCCACCCAAAGUCCAUCAGGACUUGAACUCUAAUAAUAAAUAAAUAUUAAAUAAACCUCUACUUGACUC